CUCAGUCUGGUCACUGGCAAAAUGGGGUUCUUGAUGUUCCUAGCACUCAGAACACCCAUCCUGCAUCUCCUUUUGCUGUUAGCCAUUCCAAAGUUCUGAAUGCAGUCCAGGUAACUGAAAAUUAUAAAUAAAAAUCAAAAUAAAAUGAAAAAUACACAAAAAGUACUAUCUGCAAACCUGAUUGCAAUGCUUUUUAGUACCCAUAAUGUAGGAUAAUCUUAAUUUCUUGAUUGCUGACACAGAAAUUUCGUGAUGUCCCAAUUGGUUGAAUGGAAUUACAACAACAGGGUGAUAUUUCUGGUCAAUAUAUAACCCAUUGGGUGGGCACAGUCUUGUCUAUUUGUGCUGAUUGAAUCUUCUUCUGAGACAUGAAACCAAUUAAAUUUGUGAAGAACAAAACCAUGGAUUUUGUUUGGUUUAGAUUAUGUUGAACUUCAAGCAGCUAUCCCAUUUGUAGGUUGUAGUGAUGACAAUUCUCAGAACCUGCUGCUUGUGAAGUUUGGUUAAAAAAAUGACUUGCAGGGUAUUUUUGCUUAAAAAAUUUUGCAAGUUUUUGAGGGUGAUGUGAGUACAAUGAGCUGCCUGCACAAGUCAUAAGCCAUAAAGCAUAUUUUAGCCUUUUGUCUUAACAUUAUUUUUCUUGAUAUUUACCCCUUGGGAGUACCAUGCGUGUCUUCCAUAAAAAUUACUUUAUUUUGUUUUAAGCCAAAUCAGUAAGCUACUUCUCAGUUGCAGGACCGAAAAAACAUAAUAUUCAUUGAAAGAACAGCUAAAUGAGUUUUCUCAUUAUGUUAUCAGGAGGCCCGACGUGCUGCUGAGAAAGCAUUUGAUGUCUCAAAAGUGGAUGAGAGGGUGAACAAAGCCGUAGCAUUGGCAAACAAAGCAGCUAACGCAGCAAGAGUUGCAGCUGUAAAGGCCGUACAAAAGAGAGUGCAUCAUAACAGUGACAGUAGUGAC
rnacentral:lncRNA from 1 species